rnacentral:rRNA from 1 species
UGGGGAAUAUUGCACAAUGGGCGCAAGCCUGAUGCAGCCAUGCCGCGUGUAUGAAGAAGGCCUUCGGGUUGUAAAGUACUUUCAGCGGGGAGGAAGGCGAUAAGGUUAAUAACCUUGUCGAUUGACGUUACCCGCAGAAGAAGCACCGGCUAACUCCGUGCCAGCAGCCGCGGUAAUACGGAGGGUGCAAGCGUUAAUCGGAAUUACUGGGCGUAAAGCGCACGCAGGCGGUCUGUCAAGUCGGAUGUGAAAUCCCCGGGCUCAACCUGGGAACUGCAUUCGAAACUGGCAGGCUAGAGUCUUGUAGAGGGGGGUAGAAUUCCAGGUGUAGCGGUGAAGUGCGUAGAGAUCUGGAGGAAUACCGGUGGCGAAGGCGGCCCCCUGGACAAAGACUGACGCUCAGGUGCGAAAGCGUGGGGAGCAAACA